AAUGAUACAGCUAUCCCGCAUGGGGUUGGCUGUCAAAGAUUUAUCGCUCUGAGAUGAGCUCGCGUCUGAUUAGCUUGUUGGCGGGGUAACGGCCCACCAAGGCGACGAUCAGUAGCCGGACUGAGAGGUUGGCCGGCCACAUUGGGACUGAGACACGGCCCAGACUCCUACGGGAGGCAGCAG
rnacentral:rRNA from 1 species